GAUGAAGAAGGUAGCGAAAUGCGAUAAGUGGUGUGAAUUGCAGAAUUCAGUGAAUCAUCGAAUCUUUGAACGCACAUUGCGCCCCUCGGUAUUCCGUGGGGCAUGCCUGUUCGAUCGUCAUUUAACCCCUCAAGCCUAGCUUGGUAUUGGGUGCUUGUCCCGCCUCUCGCGCGGCGACUCACCUCAAAGUCAUUGGCAGCCCGCAUCUCGCCGGCCGUGAGCGCAGCACAGACGCGCUCUUGGCAACGACGGAUCGGCUCUCCAAAAGCUUAUUUCAACCACUGACCUCGGAUCAGGUAGGGAUACCCGCUGAACUUAAGCAUAUCAAUAAGCGGAGGA
rnacentral:misc_RNA from 1 species